GAUCUGGAUCCAUCAUGUUUCUUUUCAAACCCCAUGAAGACGGAUCCUCUUUGGUUUAUUUUGAAGAAAAUCGUACACGAAGAAGAUGAUGAAUCAGAUAUCGAAGAGAAGGCUGAAGUUUUUGUUCGAAACCAGGGAAAGAUCCGGUGAAAUUACACAUUUUUUUACGUUUUUGAGGAGGCUGAAGGGGUUUGUUCGAAAAUCUUGUUCAAGAAGGUGAAUAAAUCUGUACCAACCAAAACAAUUUGAAGAUGAUGUUUCAGAUGUUGAAAAUGAUUCAAAAGAUGUUUGAUGUUGAACAUAGUUACGAAAUGUAACAAUCAA